GCCAGCAGCCAUAUGACUCUUCAACUCACAACUAGCCCACUGAAGCUAGGCAGGUGUGAGCCUGGUCAGUACCUGGAUGGGAGACCUCCUGGGAAAAACUAAGGUUGCUGCUGGAA
rnacentral:rRNA from 1 species